CACGGGAUCAGAGCCGCAUCUGCAACCUGCGCCACAGCUCACAGCAACGCUGGAUCCUUAACCCACUGAACAAGGCCAGGGAUGGAACCCGAAACCUCGUGGUUCCUAGUCGGAUUCGUUAACCACUGCACCACGACAGGAACUCUGGCCACGACUUCUAAACCUGGGCUCCCGUCCUUGUCCCAGCCCUACUGCCAUUCCUGGGAAGCCCAUCCUGAAGCAGGUGGUGUGGUGACUGCCACUCGCAAGGAGGCACGAGGACCGUCACUACCGUCCAGGGACCAGCCCCGGCCCCCUGGAGAAAUGGUUCUGGAGGCUGCUGUGAGAGCACCUGUGAUGUGUCACCAGGCUCUCUUGUCCGGCCAUAGCCUGAAAGGAAGAGAGGCAGUGACCAGGGACUUCAGGAACAGUUGCUGUGAGCACUCAGAGCAAGACAGAGUGGCG
rnacentral:lncRNA from 1 species